GAUGAACGCUGGCGGCGUGCCUAAUACAUGCAAGUCGAGCGAAUGGAUUAAGAGCUUGCUCUUAUGAAGUUAGCGGCGGACGGGCGAGUAACACGUGGGUAACCUGCCCAUAAGACUGGGAUAACUCCGGGAAACCGGGGCUAAUACCGGAUAACAUUUUGAACAGCAUGGUUCGAAAUUGAAAGGCGGCUUCGGCUGUCACUUAUGGAUGGACCCGCGUCGCAUUAGCUAGUUGGUGAGGUAACGGCUCACCAAGGCAACGAUGCGUAGCCGACCUGAGAGGGUGAUCGGCCACACUGGGACUGAGACACGGCCCAGACUCCUACGGGAGGCAGCAGUAGGGAAUCUUCCGCAAUGGACGAAAGUCUGACGGAGCAACGCCGCGUGAGUGAUGAAGGCUUUCGGGUCGUAAAACUCUGUUGUUAGGGAAGAACAAGUGCUAGUUGAAUAAGCUGGCACCUUGACGAUACCUAACCAGAAAGCCACGGCUAACUACGUGCCAGCCGCCGCCGUAA
rnacentral:rRNA from 1 species